rnacentral:SRP_RNA from 1 species
GCUGGGCGUGGUGGCGGGCGCCUGUAAUCCCAGCUACUCAGGAGGCUGAGGCAGGAGAAUUGCUUGAACCCGGGAGGCGGAGGUUGCAGUGAGCCAAGAUUGCGCCACUGCACUCCAGCCUGGGCAACAGAGCAAGACUCUGUCUCAA